rnacentral:rRNA from 1 species
AUUGCCCUAGUAACGGCGAGUGAAGCGGCAACAGCUCAAAUUUGAAAUCUGGCUCUUUUAGAGUCCGAGUUGUAAUUUGCAGAGGGCGCUUUGGCUUUGGCAGCGGUCCAAGUUCCUUGGAACAGGACGUCACAGAGGGUGAGAAUCCCGUACGUGGUCGCUAGCUAUUGCCGUGUAAAGCCCCUUCGACGAGUCGAGUUGUUUGGGAAUGCAGCUCUAAAUGGGAGGUAAAUUUCUUCUAAAGCUAAAUAUUGGCCAGAGACCGAUAGCGCACAAGUAGAGUGAUCGAAAGAUGAAAAGCACUUUGGAAAGAGAGUCAAACAGCACGUGAAAUUGUUGAAAGGGAAGCGCUUGCAGCCAGACUUGCUUGCAGUUGCUCAUCCGGGCUUUUGCCCGGUGCACUCUUCUGCAGGCAGGCCAGCAUCAGUUUGGGCGGUGGGAUAAAGGUCUCUGACACGUUCCUUCCUUCGGGUUGGCCAUAUAGGGGAGACGUCAUACCACCAGCCUGGACUGAGGUCCGCGCAUCUGCUAGGAUGCUGGCGUAAUGGCUGUAAGCGGCCCGUCUUGAAACACGGACCAAGGAGUCUAACAUCUAUGCGAGUGUUUGGGUGUCAAGCCCGAGCGCGUAAUGAAAGUGAACGGAGGUGGGAACCCGCAAGGGUGCACCAUCGACCGAUCCUGAAGUUUACGGAAGGAUUUGAGUAAGAGCAUGGCUGUUGGGACCCGAAAGAUGGUGAACUAUGCUUGAAUAGGGUGAAGCCAGAGGAACUCUGGUGGAGGCUCGCAGCGGUUCUGACGUGCAAAUCGAUCGUCAAAUUUGGGCAUAGGGGCGAAAGACUAAUCGAACUAUCUAGUAGCUGGUUCCUGCGA